GUGUGCUCACUAAUUUUUACUGCUGUGUCUGUUUCGGAUUGUCUUGCUUCAGCUGGGAGUGUAUACACCCUGCAAAGAUAAAGGUAAAUUUCCACUUGAUUCACAAUUUUAAGGUUACCACUUAUAUAAAGGCCAACAAAGUUGUGAGCAUAUACGUAUAUGCUCACAACUUUGUUGGCCUUUAUCUUAGUUGUUGCAUAAAUGCGUGUGUGCACACCCAACGCACUAUAAGUAGAUUUAUGAACUCCAAAUUGUAUGCCAUUAGCAGUUAUGAAGGAUUUGCUUGUACAAAGUUUAUAGUACUUGCUUGAUUUCUAAUUAAUAAAAAGCAAAGUUAUGACAAGUUAUUCUACUACCUCUUAUAAUUCUGAGCAUCUAGUAGUGUGUUGCUACAAGUAAAUUUCCACUUGAUUCACAAUUUUAAGGUUACCACUUAUGUGAUUAAUUCUUGUGCUUUUCUUCCAUUAUCUGCCAUUUUCAAUUUAGCUGUUAGUGAUAUUGUGACCAUCACCCUUAGUAUCGCAACNNNNN
rnacentral:lncRNA from 1 species